rnacentral:snRNA from 1 species
GUGCUUGCUUCGGCAGCACCUAUACUAAAAUUGGAACGAUACAGAGAAGAUUAGCAUGGCCUCUGUGCAAGGAUGACAUGCAAAUUCGUGAAGCGUUUCAUAUUUUU